rnacentral:rRNA from 1 species
AACGCGAAGAACCUUACCUGGGUUUGACAUGCACAGGACGCCGGCAGAGAUGUCGGUUCCCUUGUGGCCUGUGUGCAGGUGGUGCAUGGCUGUCGUCAGCUCGUGUCGUGAGAUGUUGGGUUAAGUCCCGCAACGAGCGCAACCCUUGUCUCAUGUUGCCAGCACGUUAUGGUGGGGACUCGUGAGAGACUGCCGGGGUCAACUCGGAGGAAGGUGGGGAUGACGUCAAGUCAUCAUGCCCCUUAUGUCCAGGGCUUCACACAUGCUACAAUGGCCGGUACAAAGGGCUGCGAUGCCGUGAGGUGGAGCGAAUCCUUUCAAAGCCGGUCUCAGUUCGGAUCGGGGUCUGCAACUCGACCCCGUGAAGUCGGAGUCGCUAGUAAUCGCAGAUCAGCAACGCUGCGGUGAAUACGUUCCCGGGUCUUGUACACACCG